rnacentral:rRNA from 1 species
AUUGAACGCUGGCGGAAUGCUUUACACAUGCAAGUCGAACGGCAGCACGGGUGCUUGCACCUGGUGGCGAGUGGCGAACGGGUGAGUAAUGCGUCGGAACGUGCCGAGUAAUGGGGGAUAACGCAGCGAAAGUUGUGCUAAUACCGCAUACGCCCUGAGGGGGAAAGUGGGGGAUCGCAAGACCUCACGUUAUUCGAGCGGCCGACGUCUGAUUAGCUAGUUGGUGGGGUAAAGGCCUACCAAGGCGACGAUCAGUAGCGGGUCUGAGAGGAUGAUCCGCCACACUGGGACUGAGACACGGCCCAGACUCCUACGGGAGGCAGCAGUGGGGAAUUUUUGGACAAUGGGGGCAACCCUGAUCCAGCCAUUCCGCGUGAGUGAAGAAGGCCUUUGGGUUGUAAAGCUCUUUCAGCUGGAGUGAAACGGUGCGCUCUAACAUAGCGUGCUAAUGACGGCACCAGCAGAAGAAGCACCGGCUAACUACGUGCCAG